AAACCUAUCCAAACUCAUCCAAAAUUCCAUAACUCACUUCAAUAAACUCCCCUUAAUAUUCCAAAUUUAACAACAUUAAAAUCUCCCAACCGGCGGCGGCGCCGCCGGCGGCUCCGCCGGCAGCGGCGGCCGGAGGUCAAUUCCGGCGACCUCCAAAACCUAUGAAAUUUUAACAGCAUCUUCCUCUCAUCAAGCUCUACAACUUUCAUAACUAGCACAAACACCAAUUCCAAGCCUAACCAUGUCGAUCGAACACAAACAACCAAAAAUCCCCAAAACUUUCAAUUAUACAAACCACCCUAACGAAAUCGAAUUAAGCCGAAACCUUUUGAGGGAUUACUCACCUAGAUGAGGGCUACAAGUUGAGCUAAAAAUCACGACCUAUGGUGGCCGGAGGACGGAGCUCCGGCGAACAACCCAUUCCGGCAGUCGAACCUUUCGGGGUUGACCGCUCUCUCACGGCGGAGCUAGGGCUCCUCUCACCGGUCCAGGGACGUUGCUGGGUUGGAGGUCGUUCGAUUGGGACCGGUGCGGCGGCGGUUGGUGGCCGGACGGCGGCGGGAGGGCAGCCGGAAAACCGGUGGGUGUAGAGAGAAGAAAAUCGGGUGAGAAGAGAAGAAAAAUCGGGAGGGAGGGAGAGAGAAAGAAAAGAAGAAGAAAUGGGUUGGGCUCGGCCCAGCCGACCCAACACUCCCUUAUAACCCAAACUUCCAAAAUUCAACACCCCGAAAAAUAAUACCCGAAUAAAAAAUUACCUUUUACUAGCUAAAAUUUACUAUUUUUACCGUCGUCGUAUUUUCUUCAUACUAAUAAUCCUCCGCACAUAAUCGUCCCCGAAACCCCUCUAGGGACCAAUUAAACUAUUUACUCAAUGACGGAGACGGUAAAAUUCUUAUUAUAAUCACGCUAGUAAAUAAGGUAAAAAUAUAAGGGUCGGGAUGUGACACGCGUCGUCAUCGGAGCCAUCCAGUGGAGAACGGAGGGACAUCCGCACUUUAAGAGCUGUGCGGACGUCCUCUUUGGAACGGCUUCGUGUGUGUGUGUGUGUGUGUGUAUAGUUCGAUCAUUAAUUUGAAUGAAAUUUUGCAGGAAUGAUCUAUACAUUAAUAUCAAUAAACUGCAUGGUGAAGAUGUGGAAAUGUGA
rnacentral:lncRNA from 1 species